UGUUGCAAGUAUUUCACAAGUGUAAUCAAAUCCCCCAGAAUGUCCUUUAUUUUGUCAGAUCUCAGAUGCUAAGCACGGUUGAGCCUGGGUAGUGCUUGCAUGGGAGACUGCCUGGUAAUUCCAGGUCUUGUAAGCU
rnacentral:rRNA from 1 species